GAUGAACGCUGGCGGUAUGCCUAACACAUGCAAGUCGUACGAGAGUUUUUAACUCUAGUGGCGGACGGGUGAGUAACACGUGAGAAUUUGCCUUUAGGAGGGGGACAACAAUUGGAAACGAAUGCUAAUACCCCAUAUGCUUUCGAGUGAAAUGGAUUUUAUCCGCCUAGAGAGAAGCUCGCGGCUGAUUAGCUUGUUGGUAAGGUAAGAGCUUACCAAGGCGACGAUCAGUAUCUGGUUUGAGAGGACGAUCAGACACACUGGAACUGAGACACGGUCCAGACUCCUACGGGAGGCAGCAGUGGGGAAUUUUCCGCAAUGGGCGAAAGCCUGACGGAGCAAUACCGCGUGAGGGAGAAUGCCUAUGGGUUGUAAACUGCUUUUGACAGGGAAGAAAUCACUUAUGCGUAAGUGUCUGACGGUACCUGUAGAAUAAGCACCGGCUAACUCCGUG
rnacentral:rRNA from 1 species